GCCCCACUAGCUCAAUCGGCUAGAGCGUCAGACUUUUACGGAUUCUGUAGAAGUCCAUCUGAAGGCUGCGAGUUCGACCCUCGCGUGGGGCU